rnacentral:rRNA from 1 species
UACAGAGGGUGCAAGCGUUGUUCGGAAUUAUUGGGCGUAAAGGGUGCGUAGGCGGUGCGGUAAGUCUGUAGUGAAAUCUCUGGGCUCAACUCAGAGUCUGCUAUAGAAACUGCCGUGCUUGAGUGUGGGAGAGGUGAGUGGAAUUCCCGGUGUAGCGGUGAAAUGCGCAGAUAUCAGGAAGAACACCCGUGGCUAAGGCGGCUCUCGUAGUACGGUACUGACGCUGAGACGCGAAAGCGUGGGGAGCGAACAGG